rnacentral:rRNA from 1 species
AUUGAACGCUGGCGGCAGGCUUAACACAUGCAAGUCGGACGGUAGCACAGAAAGCUUGCUCUUGGGUGACGAGUGGCGGACGGGUGAGUAAUGUCUGGGGAUCUGCCCGAUAGAGGGGGAUAACCACUGGAAACGGUGGCUAAUACCGCAUAACGUCGCAAGACCAAAGAGGGGGACCUUCGGGCCUCUCACUAUCGGAUGAACCCAGAUGGGAUUAGCUAGUAGGCGGGGUAAUGGCCCACCUAGGCGACGAUCCCUAGCUGGUCUGAGAGGAUGACCAGCCACACUGGAACUGAGACACGGUCCAGACUCCUACGGGAGGCAGCAGUGGGGAAUAUUGCACAAUGGGCGCAAGCCUGAUGCAGCCAUGCCGCGUGUAUGAAGAAGGCCUUCGGGUUGUAAAGUACUUUCAGCGGGGAGGAAGGCGGCAAGGUUAAUAACCUUGCCGAUUGACGUUACCCGCAGAAGAAGCACCGGCUAACUCCGUGCCAGCAGCCGCAGUAA